rnacentral:rRNA from 1 species
GAUGAACGCUGGCGGCGUGCCUAAUACAUGCAAGUCGAGCGAACAGAUAAGGAGCUUGCUCCUUUGACGUUAGCGGCGGACGGGUGAGUAACACGUGGAUAACCUACCUAUAAGACUGGGAUAACUUCGGGAAACCGGAGCUAAUACCGGAUAACAUAUUGAACCGCAUGGUUCAAUAGUGAAAGGCGGCUUUGCUGUCACUUAUAGAUGGAUCCGCGCCGUAUUAGCUAGUUGGUAAGGUAACGGCUUACCAAGGCAACGAUACGUAGCCGACCUGAGAGGGUGAUCGGCCACACUGGAACUGAGACACGGUCCAGACUCCUACGGGAGGCAGCAGUAGGGAAUCUUCCGCAAUGGGCGAAAGCCUGACGGAGCAACGCCGCGUGAGUGAUGAAGGUCUUCGGAUCGUAAAACUCUGUUAUCAGGGAAGAACAAAUGUGUAAGUAACUGUGCACAUCUUGACGGUACCUGAUCAGAAAGCCACGGCUAGCUACGUG